rnacentral:lncRNA from 1 species
CGGGGAAGACCAGUGACGGGCUCGUGCGGGCACCGCCGCGACAAAUCGGCCGCCGCCCCCCCUCCGUCGAUCUCAGGGCUCGCUAAGAAUGGAUCGACUGCAGCGGCUCGGGAUCUGGCGUCCGGCACAUAAUCCAGAAAGAAAAGGGGAUUCAGGACCUCAAUGGGGAACGCAAAAAAAAAAAACGAAUAUAGGCUCAUCCCGGAACGAGCGUUGCGAGUAUUACGGCAGUAUGCAUUCUCGAUACAUACCUAUGGCCGUCCGCCGGAGAGGCUCCCGGGGCGGCGAGCGUCGGCGCCAUUGAUUCGCCUCCCUGCGCCCAAUCCAUUAGAGGGUCGAGUUGAAGAACAGAGCAGGGGCGCCGUUGGGGGAGAUAAGUGAUUCGCCUUCACGGGUCCGCGUCUGUAUGCGGUGGGGAGGUAAAAGACAAUAACGUGCAGGGCCUAGCCCGUGAUGCCGUUACCCUACGACGAGUGGACGGUGACAGACACCUGCCACGGUAAUACGUAGACUAAACCUGUAUCCCCGUCGUGCAUCUCGAGGUAGACCGCAACGAUUCGACCGCCAGGAUAGCGCGGCCCCGGCGCAUAUGCUCGAA